UACAGAGGUGGCAAGCGUUGUUCGGAAUUACUGGGCGUAAAGGGCGCGUAGGCGGCCAUCUAAGUCAGACGUGAAAUCCCCCGGCUUAACCUGGGAACUGCGUCUGAUACUGGACGGCUUGAGUAUGGGAGAGGGAUGUAGAAUUCCAGGUGUAGCGGUGAAAUGCGCAGAUAUCAGGAGGAACACCGGUGGCGAAGGCGGGUCUCUGGGCAACAACUGACGCUGAGGAGCGAAAGCGUGGGGAGCAAACAGG
rnacentral:rRNA from 1 species